UGGACGCGUGUGUACGUGCGCUCGCGUGCUCGGCAUGAAAAGCUUAAUUCGAUUUUUCCCGAAUAAUACGCUAAACAAGGCAACCGUUGUUAUGGGUGCAAGCAUCGACUGGAUACCGAACGCUGAGGAGAGGACUGCGAUCAAAUAUUUCCGAUGUAAGGACCCCGUAAUAAUUGUUCCAGGACGGAGAUUAGGGUUUCUAUGAACCGUGACGUACCGCUCUUUUUUCAACGGAAAAUGAAAUUGGAUUGAUUCAAUUCACAGCACAGCACUUACGUGUACGAUACGUUUCCAUUCGAUAUCCUAAGUGACUGUACAUAGUGUACAUACACCUGCGUCUGUUUAGAGGAUGUCGGGGCAAAAUAGGGCGAGAAAGUCACUGUUCAACUUCCUCCUAUUACUGCCAUGAAGACUAUUCAAAUCUAUAACUGCCACAGGAUUCUUGAUUAUAGACAGAAGAAAUCAAC